rnacentral:hammerhead_ribozyme from 1 species
AUCCAGCUGACGAGUCCCUAACAGGACGAAAUGCGCACCAUGGAU